AUUGAUAAUAGUAUGCUUUCGCAUAAAAUUCUGAUGAUGAUAUACAAGUAUUGUUUCAAAUCCCCAAACACUAGAGAGAUAAUGAGUUAAUCCCUAGUUAGCCACUUCGAGCCUAGAAGUAGGUGUUUCUUUCAGAUCUAAAAAACCCUUACGCUUAACCCGGGGCAAAGUAAUGUCUAGUUGAUCUCACUCUGCAUUCAAAUUACAAGAGAAUACAUCCCAUGCGGGGAUUAA
rnacentral:lncRNA from 1 species